rnacentral:rRNA from 1 species
GACGAACGCUGGCGGCGUGCUUAACACAUGCAAGUCGAACGGAAAGGCCCUGCUUUUGUGGGUUUCCUGAGGGGCGACGGGGGGGUGAAUACGGAAUUAACCUCCCCUUGAUUUUGGGGUAACUUAAGGGGACGGGGCUUAUACCAGUACAGAACCUCCCCUGCCUGGGUGGGGGUGGGAACUUUUGGCCGGUCGGGGAUGGAUGGCCGGAUUACCGGCUUGUUGGUGGGGUAGUGGCUUACCAAGCCUUUGAAGGGUAGCCGGCUGGAGAGGGUGACCGGCGACAUUGGGACUGAGGUAAGGCCCAGACGGGUACGGGAGGACACAGUGGGGAAUAUUGCACAAUGGGCGGAAGCGGGAUGCAGCAGCGCCGCGUGCGGGAUGACGGCCUUCGGGUUGUAAACCGCUUUAGCCUGUGACGCAGCGUGAGUGACGGUAAUGGGUAAAGAAGCACCGGCUAACUACGUG